rnacentral:rRNA from 2 species
CCUAAUACAUGCAAGUCGAACGAGUUCUGAUUAUUGAAAGGUGCUUGCAUCUUGAUUUAAUUUUGAACGAGUGGCGGACGGGUGAGUAACACGUGGGUAACCUGCCCUUAAGUGGGGGAUAACAUUUGGAAACAGAUGCUAAUACCGCAUAAAUCCAAGAACCGCAUGGUUCUUGGCUGAAAGAUGGCGUAAGCUAUCGCUUUUGGAUGGACCCGCGGCGUAUUAGCUAGUUGGUGAGGUAACGGCUCACCAAGGCAAUGAUACGUAGCCGAACUGAGAGGUUGAUCGGCCACAUUGGGACUGAGACACGGCCCAAAUUCCUACGGGAGGCAGCAGUAGGGAAUCUUCCACAAUGGACGCAAGUCUGAUGGAGCAACGCCGCGUGAGUGAAGAAGGCUUUCGGGUCGUAAAACUCUGUUGUUGGAGAAGAAUGGUCGGCAGAGUAACUGUUGUCGGCGUGACGGUAUCCAACCAGAAAGCCACGGCUAACUACGUGCCAGCAGCCGCGGUAAUACGUAGGUGGCAAGCGUUAUCCGGAUUUAUUGGGCGUAAAGCGAGCGCAGGCGGUUUUUUAAGUCUGAUGUGAAAGCCCUCGGCUUAACCGAGGAAGUGCAUCGGAAACUGGGAAACUUGAGUGCAGAAGAGGACAGUGGAACUCCAUGUGUAGCGGUGAAAUGCGUAGAUAUAUGGAAGAACACCAGUGGCGAAGGCGGCUGUCUGGUCUGUAACUGACGCUGAGGCUCGAAAGCAUGGGUAGCGAACAGGAUUAGAUACCCUGGUAGUCCAUGCCGUAAACGAUGAAUGCUAGGUGUUGGAGGGUUUCCGCCCUUCAGUGCCGCAGCUAACGCAUUAAGCAUUCCGCCUGGGGAGUACGACCGCAAGGUUGAAACUCAAAGGAAUUGACGGGGGCCCGCACAAGCGGUGGAGCAUGUGGUUUAAUUCGAAGCAACGCGAAGAACCUUACCAGGUCUUGACAUCUUUUGAUCACCUGAGAGAUCAGGUUUCCCCUUCGGGGGCAAAAUGACAGGUGGGUGCAUGGUUGUCGUCAGCUCGUGUCGUGAAGAUGUUGGGGUUAAGUCCCGCAACGAGCGCAACCCUUAUGACUAGUUGCCAGCAUUUAGUUGGGCACUCUAGUAAGACUGCCGGUGACAAACCGGAAGGAAAGGUGGGGGAUGACGUCAAAUCAUCAUGCCCCUUAUGACCUGGGCUACACACGUGCUACAAUGGAUGGUACAACGAGUUGCGAGACCGCGAGGUCAAGCUAAUCUCUUAAAGCCAUUCUCAGUUCGGACUGUAGGCUGCAACUCGCCUACACGAAGUCGGAAUCGCUAGUAAUCGCGGAUCAGCACGCCGCGGUGAAUACGUUCCCGGGCCUUGUACACACCGCCCGUCACACCAUGAGAGUUUGUAACACCCGAAGCCGGUGGCGUAACCCUUUUAGGGAGCGAGCCGUCUAAGG